GUAGGUGGCAAGCGUUGUCCGGAAUUAUUGGGCGUAAAGCGCGCGCAGGUGGUUCUUUAAGUCUGAUGUGAAAGCCCCCCGGGCUCAACCGGGGGAGGGUCAUUGGAAACUGGGGAACUUGAGUGCAGGAGAGGAAAGUGGAAUUCCACGUGUAGCGGUGAAAUGCGUAGAUAUGUGGAGGAACACCAGUGGCGAAGGCGACUUUCUGGCCUGUAACUGACACUGAGGCGCGAAAGCGUGGGGAGCAAACAGGAUUAGAUACCCUGGUAGUCCACGCCGUAAACGAUGAGUGCUAAGUGUUGGGGGGUUUCCGCCCCUCAGUGCUGCAGCUAACGCAUUAAGCACUCCGCCUGGGGAGUACGGUCGCAAAGACUGA
rnacentral:rRNA from 1 species